GACGAACGCUGGCGGCAUGCCUAAUACAUGCAAGUCGAGCGAACAGAUGAAGUGCUUGCACUUCUGACGUUAGCGGCGAACGGGUGAGUAACACGUAAGGAAUCUACCUAUAAGCGGGGGAUAACAUUCGGAAACGGGUGCUAAUACCGCAUAAUAUCUUCUUCCGCAUGGAAGGAGAUUGAAAGACGGCUCUGCUGUCACUUAUAGAUGACCUUGCGGUGCAUUAGUUAGUUGGUGGGGUAAUGGCCCACCAAGACGAUGAUGCAUAGCCGACCGGAGGGGGUGAUCGGACACAUUGGGGCUGAGACACGGCCCAAACUCCUACGGGGGGAAGCAGUAGGGAAUCUUCCGCAAUGGGGGAAAGCCUGACGGAGCAAUGCCGCGUGAGUGAAGAAGGCCUUCGGGUCGUAAAACUCUGUUAUAAGGGAAGAACAAAUUGUAGAGUAACUGCUACAGUCUUGACGGUAUCUUAUCAGAAAGCCACGGCUAACUACGUGCCAGCAGCCGCCGCCG
rnacentral:rRNA from 1 species